AUGGGAAACUUGUGGUGUGAUAGCCUUCACUUCGCUUUCACAUUUAUUUCCUUCACACGUCCUUAUAUUUUCAUAUAUUUUAAUAAACAUGUAUACACAUAUACAUAUAUAUAUAUACAUUUACUACUUUUUCCUUUUUUUUUUUUUUUUUUUUUUUUUUUUUUUUUUUUUUUUUUUUUUUUUUUUAUUUUUCUUUUUUUUUUUUUUUUCUUAGUAUUUUUUUCUUUACUAUCUUUUAUUUUCAUAUCUUUUCGAAUGUCAUCAUUACCAUUUUUGUUUUGUAACUCUUUCAAUUUUUCUAAACUUUUUAUAUCCCAUUCGUUAUGUAUUUUAAUAGGUGUACUACUAUUACUACUAUUAAAUGGUGUAAUUGUUUUUUUAUUAAUACUUAUAGUUUCUUCUUUUUCUUCAUUCGUUUUGGUUUUUUUUUGUGCUGUUACAUUAGUAUGUUUCAGUUCUGAUAUUGAACCAGUAGGUAUUGUUGCACUUGCAACACCACCUGUACUAAGUUCUGGGGAUCCUAAUACUGUAUUGGUUUCUUCUUCUCCUUCUUCAUCAUCAUUUUUUUUUAUAGUUUUAACUGUAUUUUGCGUGACAUCGUUACUAUUAAGUUCAUUUUUUUUUGUCUGGUGUUUUUUUUAAAUAUUGAUAUAAUAAAUCAUGAUAUAUAUAUUUCGGUCCA
rnacentral:lncRNA from 1 species